UCAAUAUAGAGUUUCCAAUUCUACAGAAUGCAUGCCGGAUCUACCACAAAGCAGUGAAGAGAAGGAAGAGUACCAUGGUGCGGGUCACCCAACUGGGAGGAAGCCUGACCUGGAGGAGCCUGUGUGAAGCAAACACAUUACAUCAUGAAGCAAUAUGGAAGAAACAAUAAGAAAUCAGACAGUAUCGUAGGACAAGCUCUUCACGGAGGUUUUGUAUUCCUUCAUUGGAUCAUGUUUUGAUGCAGGUCAACAGGGCAAAGGAAGAGUGUAAAGUGACUUAACAUGGGAUAAUAGUGCAUGCGGACAUUAUCAUGAUUGGAAUGGUUGUCCUUAUGGCCACGUUCACAUUGCAGGGCGUGAGAACCAACUCAGAUGGGUGUCCAGCUCAGACGACAUGGCUACCAGCUCCUGGAUGCCAAGUGGGUUAGCAGGGUGAUGUAGAGCGAUGAGGGAGAGGCUCACUGGUUCAACCAAUGGACUCGGUUGACCCUCUGUUGGACUCAGCGGUGGGGACGGCGAAGACUUCGUGGUGACUGGGCUUUUAUCUGAGGGUGACAGCAGAUUUAAAAAUAACCCUUAUUUAGAGAUGCCAAAUGUUCCAGUUUGUUCCUAUUUUGGUUUCAACCAGUUGCCAUGUGUUCGGAUAACUCGAAAAUGUUCCACAGAGGUGCGAGUAAGAAGGUAUCACAAGCUACACGUUCUUCUCUCCAAAAUUUACUCAUCACAUGGUGGCGAAUAAGACUUAUUUCUGACAAGAACCGUUUUCAUGAAGAGAGGAACGAGUACCAGUAGUAAUUAUUAUCAGGAGAGGAUCACAAAACCAUGCUAAGCCGCUGAGCUAUCAUUAAAUAUUAUAACAUCGUCUUAAAAAUAAAGGAAUAAGAGCUUGG